CAUGCAUCGGGCCUCAGUACUUCAAUAAAAGGCAUCAUAGUAGAGUCUUCUGGGGCUUGUGUUUUCUCUUGCAGUAAUGUUUCUGAGACCGUGUGGGUGCUAUGGCGUAGAGUAAUGUAGACAGAGCUGCCGUUCAUUUAUGUUCACAACUCUAUAUAGUCCACAGUCCAGGCUCCAGGCUCCAACCCUGUCUCUGGACACUUGAGUAACUUCUUCUUUUUCUCUAUCACAGAACAAUUUUCCAGGAAGAUUCUCAUACACGCCCCCUUGGUGCACUCAGCCCGUGGUGUUUUGCUGCUGUUGUUUUGGUAUUGUCCUGGUUUUUUAAAUACCUAUUGAGCCAUGAAUUCACAGGGAAGGGGAUCCAGCAGCUCGAGCUCCUUCCCGCAGUUCUCACAAGGUGGGCCUCUCUGGGCAGACCAGGCUGGUGCUUCGGUCGAACCCAGGUACCUUGCUCUUUUGCUCCCUUCUUUUUUGUAUCAUUUCCCUUCACAUAUUUCAGGAAGCCGUUGUGGCUCUUGGAGUAAUUAACAUGCCCAGAAUGUCCGUUAAUUCUCUUGGCAAGCAUCUGGCCCUUAACUUGUUUGUUUCCCACAAUGCCCACGGGGUCGCACUGUGGACUCGUCCAGUUUUGCCAUGGCAACAUUUGUGGGGCCUUCCUUUUGAGCAGUGCCCGUUCCCUUGAUGUCCACAAUACCACCUUUCUUAUAGAUUCACGUGUAGGUGGCCAGAGGAACAACUCCGUGGUUCUGAAAGGCCCAGGGGACACGCAGCGGAGUCCCUUCCCCUUCCCGUUGUCUCAGCCAUUUCGGUGAAUUACUAGAAGAUGAAGAUGCUGCUGAGAGGCACAACCUCCUCUUUUUAGGAGCAUCUCCAGGCCCCCAUGGCUGAGCCACUUCUUCCUCUAGUCCGUGGGCCCAGGCCUUGCUAGGUAUCAGCGGACACACACCACCUGCAGUGCUUCCCAGGAAGCGAUGGUUUCCAGAUCCCUCUGCACCUGUUCAUCCCCUUGUGAAUGGACCACAGAUGUUUCCAGAUGCCUCACACACUGCACACGCAUGUUCGAGGAAAACCCCAGGGCCAGUCUGACAGCACAGAGGGGGCCCCAAUCCCGCCCACGUGAGUUACUGGUGCAGCCAAGGAGGCUGGAGGCCGCGCUGGCAGCCAGGGCAGCCCUGUGGUCCACACUGCACCCAGGAACUGGUGAAAACCUACAGAUCUUUUCAUGGGAAAAGUCACCAGCUUGUUUGUAUGCCUCCGAUAUCUCCCUCUCGAGGCAGGGUAUCCACAGAACCCAACCUCACUGCUUUGACAUCGCACACCCAUCUUUUGAAAAAGUUUUCUUUUGUGCCUGUGUUUAGCUCUCCCCCCGGUUUCAUGUCCAGCAGCACAAAUUUAAUGAGAAAGAUACUGUGUGUUUUUUAACGUUACAUUCCAAGGAUAAUACCCGUGGCAAUGAGCCUGUUUGGAGCCUGUCCCCACUGCACUCUGGUUUGGGUGUCAGGCUCCGACCCAGCAGGCGGGGUCAGGGAAGGUACACGUCUCUUCGCCAGGCCCAGGGCAAGGCCCGGCUUUGCCAGGGCUGCGGACAGUGACAGUCCGCCUCUGCCGGCCGCCCUGGCCAGGAACAUCUGAGUAAUCUUGGACUCGUGUCUGUCCUGUCUCCUAUUGCCUAAUCUUGCCUGGCCUUCGUUAAAAACAUCUCGCUCCUUCACUUUCUCUCACUUGUUCCUCCACACGUUUCUCCUGGGACCACAGUGCUUGUGCCAGAGCCUGAGACUGGUCUCGCCAACACAGACUCCCAGAUAUUUACAAGCAAUUCCCGAAGGGGUGCCAGGCCCCUGGGGGUGUCUCUCAGACUGCGCCCUGAUAGGGGGACUAGGAGUUGGUUAAACCAGUCGCUGGAAGACUCACAUUUCAAGCCAAGGAAACAAAGGAAUGUCCACUGGUCAGCACUUGGAUGUGAGCAGAGGGUGCCAGGCCUCCUCCUAAGGAAGGUUUAGGUUGGGCGGUGCCGUGACUGAAGGCCCAGAGGCAGUGGAGGGAGGCAGCCACAGGGGGUGUGGGUGGGAGGCAGAGACGGGGAGACGUGGGGUUCAGGGGCCAGCAGAGGGAGCAGGGGAGGAAAGGGGGCAGCAGUGAUUGGAUGGAGGGAGGAGUUGAAAGGGGUGAUGAUGCCU